ensembl:lincRNA
CACUGCCUUUCUGUGUUAUAACCAUGGAACCCAGACACUCAGAGCAAAACAGACGUGUGGGAUGGCCAUAUAACGCUCCUGUUCCAAACUCCGGUCACCAUGGGUAGAGAAGGCGCCAAAGGAGAUACUCAUCUGAUUAAGACACAAUAGCAUGCCAAAACAGAGGCAAGCAGGGGCAGGGAGACUCCAGGGAGCUCACACGCACUUGAAAGUCUGUCUAUACCUCCAGAGCCAGGGAAGAAGCUUGAGGAUUGGGGCUUGGAGCCAAAAGGAGCUCAUGACCAGAGAUGAGACAGUGCAUUGGAAAUUUUCCAGUCACAAAGAUGUGGCUGGUGUGAGCGGCUCAAGAUAUCUUCUCCUUUGGAGCCUCGCAACCUUGGUCAAGGUUUUCAGACAAACUGCGUGAGGAGUCCUUCAUGUUAUGAAUAACCCGACUCUUACUCCAUAUGAAUAUGAGAAACCCUAACCACCCCAAGCUUUUGGAGGUGGUAAUAGCAAUGAAGGAUAUCCCCGGAUAUUCGUGUUCCACUAAAGCUCUUAGCCACUUUUAUCUGCUUCUCUCUGCAUUUUUUAAGUAAUAUCAAAGAGAACAGAAGGAGCAGAGCUAUGGCUGAAGAAUUCACCAAUAAACUCUAUUUCACAAGAAAGAAGAGAAACCACAAAAUCUUUAAAAAGGCUUUUAUAGACGAACUGUUUCUAAGCACGACCACACUCCUGAAAUAGUGUGUGAUGGUCUUGGGAUGCAGGGUGCUGUUGGCAUUUAUCCAAGACUUCAGAUGCUCUGAGGAUUGGCCAUUAUCCUUGCCAGACAGGCUUGUCCAUCUUCUCAUCAGUUGCAAGACAUUUAAUAAAAACAGGCUGCGUUAGUUCACGCUGGUUUUAUGGACUGCUCCACAGGGCUUCAACUGGGUAAGCCUGCAAGACCCAGCCGUGCAUGGCAAAUGGCUAAGCAGAUGGUUUCAGUUUAGAUAGUGGCUGUCAGUGGUUUGGUGUGAACAGCUCUCGCAAGCCAGCAUGAAGUGAACAGAUUGCAUGGUGGCUGGGAGAAACAUAUGUAAUUGGAAACAGUAGCCACUUACAAUGGGGGCACAUUUUCAAUCUUGAUCACAGUGGCUCCAGUUUGGAAAAAAAGAGUUGAUUAACUUAAUGUCUUUUUGGCUGUGAUGAACCCAAUACUAAGAAAGUUUGGGUAGUAUCCCUGGAGGGUACUGGGCAUGGCUGUUCUGCUGCUAUGAAUCAAGGAUGUCAGGGCCUCAGAACGAAUCCCAUUCUCUGGAGACUGGGAGGCAGUGGCAGAAACAGGAGCCCAAGCGGCCAGCUGAAUACUGAAAUGCCUGGGGUCAUGAUGGCAGAGGCAGAUGGUUUGGGCAAACGGCACAGGCGUGAAAGACCAGGUAACUUAGAAAUCCGAGGUGCAGGUGGUUUUUUGGAGACCCCCACCCCACCCUCAUAGAAAGAGGACAUAUGAAAGUCUGCAGCGCACAGUACAGCCAGGGGUUUUGUCCAGGGCUAGAUCAAAGAAUGCGGAUCUUGAGGGUAAGUAGUUUGGGCAAGACAUUUCUCAGAAUGACAGCGAAAUAAAAACAGUUACUGAAGGCAGUUACAAGACAGAGGAACAAAGCAUUGACCUUGCCUUAGGACUGGACCUCAGCCUCAGAGCCAACUUCGUAGACAAUGUGGUUUCAGUAUUUAUAAACAUUUACUGUGUAACUUUCAGGUCCUGCAAUAUACUUGGGACACAGGGAUCAAUGAGACAUGGGUGAACCUCCUUGAUUCCUUGCCUAUAACCCUAGCUCUUCUUCAGCUCCAUCAGCACUUCUCUGGGAAGGCUUCCUCUGCCCUCCCUAACUAUAUCAAAUUCUCCUGCUGUUCAGCGUGCCAUGGAAUUGCCAUUCCAAGCAUCUUUACAUUUCAGCUUUUCAUGUACUAGACAAUGAUCUUUUUAACUCCCUUACUAGACGGUAUCAUGACACUGGGGACAAUUUAUGAGUUUUUUUUCCUUGAAGAUUUUGUAUCUCUUGGGGAGGAAGCACAUGUGAAUAUUUGCUUAAACUAUGGAUUAGUGAAGGGCUUCCCAGGUGGCGCUAGUGGUAAAGAAUCUGCCUGCCAAAUGCAAGAGAAGUAAAAGACGGAAGUUCGAUCCCU